rnacentral:rRNA from 1 species
ACAGGUGCUGCAUGGCUGUCGUCAGCUCGUGUCGUGAGAUGUUCGGUUAAGUCCGCUAACGAGCGCAACCCUCGCUGUGUGUUACAAGUGUCACACGGAACUGCCGGUCAUAAACCGGAGGAAGGUGGGAUGACGUCAAGUCAGCAUGGCCUUUAUAUCCUGGGCUACACACACGCUACAAUGGGCAGGGACAAUAGGUUGCGAAGCCGCGAGGCGGAGCCAAUCCAGCAAAACUUCCCUCAGUUCAGAUUGCAGGCUGCAACUCGCCUGCAUGAAGUUGGAGUUGCUAGUAAACGCAGGUCAGCCAUACUGCGUUGAAUACGUUCCCGGGGCUU